AUGUAUAAAGGUGCAGCUGCGAUAUUAGAGGACUUGGAAACUUAUCCUCUGAAUGAUGCUGCUGAAACGGUGAAUGAAAUCGGAUCAUCUAUUGGAAGAGUUAUGGGAGGAACAAGCGGGAUCAUAUAUAGUAUAUUUUGUAAGGCAUUUUACGCACAAUUAAAAACAAGCACCCAGUCAGAUGUCACAACAAAGAAAUGUGAGAUGAUUGCAUACUGCAAUAGUAACUAGCCUUAGCUCAUCUUGACUUAUCAUUUUCUUAUUCCAGGGGCUGAAGCACUCGAAGCUGCUAUUGCCGCAAUUAGUAAAUAUGGGGGAGCCAGUGCUGGCUAUCGCACAUUGUUAGAUGCCUUAAUUCCAUCUUCAACAGUUCUCCAGGAGAAGUUAAAUGCUAGGGAAGACUCUGUUACUGCUUUUCUCCUUUCAUCCGAAGCAGCUUUGGCUGGGGCUGAGUCAACCAUACACAUGCAGGCACAGGCCGGCCGGUCAACCUAUGUGCCCGGGGAGAUACUUGCAUCAGUUCCAGAUCCAGGAGCAAUGGCUGCAGCAUCAUGGUAUAGAGCAGUAGCUUUAACUGUUAAGGACAAGUGCCAGCCUUCGUGAUUAUGUAUACGCCCUGCCCCUUAUGCGUCGAUGAUCAAUUCGUGCUCCUUUUUUUGGCUGCAGAUCAACCAACAAAAUCCUUAUCUUUUUCUUCUUUUCUUUUUGCUCUUUGUCAUUUAUAAUUUACGGUCUUAACAAUUUUAAGCUUUCUUCUUUUCUUCUUUGCUCUUUGUCAUUUAUGUCUUCAUGUGGUUUAAUGAUUAUUUGUAUUGAUUUUAUUUAUUUAUUUCAACAUGCCUUUAGAUUUUGGAUAUGUUUUCACACGCAUCUCGAUCUUCUGUUGUUGUUCUCUUAGAUCCUGAAAUUUUAUAUUCUUCUUGCAAAGAGAGCCAGAGAGCGGCUAAAAGGACAAAGGUACCUGAGAAAAUAAAUUUCAGAUAGCAUUUUCUUUUGAUUAUUUUUGUUUGUACAUUUGGCUAAGGCCAUAGGUUUUCUCUUGGGAGUAAACGAACCUCUUGAACUUUUGAAUAUUCAUUUGUGCUCCUUACUUCUUCCUUUAUUUGGUGCCAG